rnacentral:rRNA from 1 species
UAACGCCUACGGGAGGCAGCAGUGGGGAAUAUUGCACAAUGGGGGAAACCCUGAUGCAGCGACGCCGCGUGAGUGAAGAAGUAUCUCGGUACGUAAAGCUCUAUCGGCAGGGAAGAAAAAAAGUCUUUGGCUUUGGACGGUACCUGACUAAGAAGCCCCGGCUAACUACGUGCCAGCAGCCGCGGUAAUACGUAGGGGGCAAGCGUUAUCCGGAUUUACUAGGGGUAAAGGGAGCGCAG